GGGCUCCGCCGUGGCCCGCGGCCUGCGGGCGGCGCUAUGGCCCGUCGGGCGGCCCCACAGAGCCGCCAUAGCCGCCCGCUUCCUUUAACCCAACGUCCUCGCCGCCGGCUCCGCGCCGCCGCCAUGGCCGACGUGGAAGACGGCGAGGAACCCUGCGCCUUGUCGUCCCACUCCGGGAGCGCAGGCUCCAAGUCGGGGGGCGACAAAAUGUUCUCCCUCAAGAAGUGGAACGCGGUGGCCAUGUGGAGCUGGGACGUGGAGUGCGAUACGUGCGCCAUCUGCAGGGUCCAGGUGAUGGAUGCCUGUCUUAGAUGUCAAGCUGAAAACAAACAAGAGGAUUGUGUUGUGUUGUCUUAUAACUCAAUGGGUCAAGCAAGGGACAGAUGAAGCCCUCGUUUGAGAUUGCAUUAUUUCAGACUGCUGGCCUCUCUGAUCACAGAGAGACCGCUCUCCAGCCAAGCCACUUGGAUUCAUUGUCAUGUGAGGAGCUACGCAGCUCCUGGAUGACCUAACAGUUCAUCGCUUCUAGAAAACAACUCAGUAGAUGGAUGGCCGAUAGUGCUUAGAAGAGUCUCUCCGCCUUACAGUGGCCACCUAUGAUCAGAAAACUCUUAAAACUCAUUCAGCUUUGGUAAAUGAAAACCAGGAGGACAUUUUUCAGUAAAGCCCAGAAGAUCUCUAAGUGGUCUGGGGAGAGUGUAAUCAUUCCUUCCACAACUGCUGCAUGUCCCUGUGGGUGAAACAGAACAAUCGCUGCCCUCUCUGCCAACAGGACUGGGUGGUCCAAAGAAUCGGCAAGUGAGAGUGGUGGAAGGCUUUCUUGGUGCGGUUGUUCACAGCCCUGGGAGAUCUUGCUGUCAAGUGCCCAGCAGAGGUUAGAACACUCCAGGGAACUAAUUCUUCAGAUAGGAGUCGCCGGAUCUGUGGUUCUUUGGGACUCAUCAAAGGCAUGGUUUAGCAUUUUGACAGUUUUAAUUUUCAAAAUUCUCUACAAUUAAGAAGAUAAUUUAUUAAAGAUGGUCUUUCCUACCUCUGUGGUAUGUGUCACACACGCUGCUUAAAAGUGCUAAAAAGGAGAGAAUUCCAGGUGGAAUGAAAUUUAUAAUUUACCUAUCUACAUACAAGGGACUGUGGAAACAAUUCCAUUCACAGGAGGGCUUUUUGCAUGCUUCUGGUUGAUCAGUUAAAAAGAGAGAGAAUGUUACAGUAACAAAUAAAGUGCAGUUUAAAACCAACUCUUAUCCUCAAUUUGUUGCUAAUAUUUUUAUGGGAAGCAGGGACAAUUCAUGACAUCUUUAUUUGAUAUAAUGAUAAUUUUGAUUUUGGACCAGUGAACAGGGUAAAUAAAAUCUAACUUUCAGGCAUAUGAAAUUUUUUUUUUUUUUGGCAUAUGGAAUUUCGAUUGCCUUUUUUUUUUUUUUUUUUUUUUUUUUU